rnacentral:misc_RNA from 1 species
AAGUCGUAACAAGGUUUCCGUAGGUGAACCUGCGGAAGGAUCAUUAAAUUCAGUAGCUUGCUACUGUUAGGGGGGUCUAUUAGUCUGUAUAGUAUCACUACUGAUGAGCAGCACGACCCUCUGUCUAUACCCUUGUCUUUUGCGCACUCCUGUUUCCUCGGCGGCUUUAUACCCGCCGGCUGGAUCAAUCUAUAACCUUUUUAAUUUUCAAUCAGCGUCUGAAAAACCUAAUAAUUACAACUUUCAACAACGGAUCUCUUGGUUCUG